UACAGAGGUCUCAAGCGUUGUUCGGAUUCAUUGGGCGUAAAGGGCGCGUAGGCGGCGGGGUAAGUCGGGUGUGAAAUCUCAGGGCUCAACCCUGAAACUGCACUCGAUACUGCUCUGCUUGAGGACUGGAGAGGAGACUGGAAUUCACGGUGUAGCAGUGAAAUGCGUAGAUAUCGUGAGGAAGACCAGUGGCGAAGGCGGGUCUCUGGACAGUUCCUGGACGCUGAGGCGCGAAAGGCCAGGGGAGCAAACGGG
rnacentral:rRNA from 1 species